rnacentral:rRNA from 1 species
GUGAGGCGGAGCAAACACAAAACACAGUCUCAGUUCAGAUUGUAGGCUGAAACUCGCCUAUAUGAAGUCGGAAUUGCUAGUAAUCGCGGAUCAGCAUGCCGCGGUGAAUACGUUCCCGGGCCUUGUACACACCGCCCGUCACACCAUGAGAGUCGAUAACACCCGAAGCCUGUAGUCUAACAGCAAUGAGGACGCAGUCGAAGGUGGGAUUGAUAAUUAGGGUGAAGUCGUAACAAGGUAUC